AGGGAUCAUUACCGAGUUUACAACUCCCAAACCCCUGUGAACAUACCACUUGUUGCCUCGGCGGAUCAGCCCGCUCCCGGUAAAACGGGACGGCCCGCCAGAGGACCCCUAAACUCUGUUUCUAUAUGUAACUUCUGAGUAAAACCAUAAAUAAAUCAAAACUUUCAACAACGGAUCUCUUGGUUCUGGCRUCGAUGAAGAACGCAGCAAAAUGCGAUAAGUAAUGUGAAUUGCAGAAUUCAGUGAAUCAUCGAAUCUUUGAACGCACAUUGCGCCCGCCAGUAUUCUGGCGGGCAUGCCUGUUCGAGCGUCAUUUCAACCCUCAAGCACAGCUUGGUGUUGGGACUCGCGUUAAUUCGCGUUCCCCAAAUUGAUUGGCGGUCACGUCGAGCUUCCAUAGCGUAGUAGUAAAACCCUCGUUACUGGUAAUCGUCGCGGCCACGCCGUUAAACCCCAACUUCUGAAUGUUGACCUCGGAUCAGGUAGG
rnacentral:rRNA from 1 species